AUACGAAGGGGGCUAGCGUUGUUCGGAAUUACUGGGCGUAAAGCGCACGUCGGCGGAUUGAUAAGUUAGGGGUGAAAUCCCGAGGCUCAACCUCGGAACUGCCUUUAAUACUGUUAGUCUCGAGUCCGGAAGAGGUGAGUGGAAUUCCUAGUGUAGAGGUGGAAUUCGUAGAUAUUAAGAAGAACACCAGUGGCGAAGGCGGCUCACUGGUCCGGUACUGACGCUGAGGUGCGAAAGCGUGGGGAGCAAACAGGAUUAGAAACCCUAGUAGUCC
rnacentral:rRNA from 1 species